UGUAACCAACAUGCAGAUGCCUUUUACGGC
rnacentral:sRNA from 1 species